UGUGGAUGUAGCUCAGAGGAAAAGUGCUUGCCUAGCAUGCAUGAGACCCUGGGUUCAAUUGCCAGCACUGCAA
rnacentral:tRNA from 1 species